rnacentral:misc_RNA from 1 species
AACGCACGAGACCUGCGGACCUGCGGAAGGAUCAUUAUGGAGCCCGUGCCCCCCCGGGGCAGAUCUCCCACCCCUGCUAUCGCUGCCACGUUGCUUUGGCGGGCCGCCGGGGCCCCGCCCCGCCGCCGGCGCCGCCGGCGAGCGCCCGCCAGAGGCUCCGCAGACCCUCGAUGUCGGCGUCGUCCGAGCACCAUAUAAUCGUUAAAACUUUCAACAAUGGAUCUCUAGAUCGGAAGAGCA